GCGGAUGUGGUGCACGGUGCACCGCUGCCUUCCGUUGAUGAUUUCGGCAAGUCAUGCUCAAGCAGCUACUGGGGUUCGACUCCCCACGUCCGCG